GACGAACCGUGCGAACGUUAUUCGGAAUCACUGGGCUUAAAGCGCGUGUAGGCGGGUCGGAACGUCGGCCGCUGAAAUCCCCCGGCUCAACCGGGGAAGGGGCGCCGAUACGACCGACCUGGAGCGACGUAGGGGGGACUGGAACUUCCGGUGGAGCGGUGAAAUGCGUUGAGAUCGGAAGGAACACCAGUGGCGAAGGCGGCGACCUGGACAGAUAUUGACGCUGAGGUGCGAAAGCGUGGGGGAGCAAACAGG
rnacentral:rRNA from 1 species